CAACACCUUAGUUAUACAGCUCCCGUUGAAAAGGUUGUAAUAAUGAAGUUUUAUGAAUAUUCAUUUUUAAGGUGUUUGACUAAGAUUGGGCUUGUUCCAAUGAUUUUAGAAGAGAGAAUGUACAAGUUUAAAUUCUUCUCUCUAAAAACCCUCAUUGGAACAUUUCUGAACGCACUGCCUGUUAUACUUACCCUGGCCGGGGACCAGAUCUAUUCUCACAUAUACGAGAA